GACGAACGCUGGCGGCGUGCCUAAUACAUGCAAGUCGAACGCUGAAGAGAGGAGCUUACUCUUCUUGGAUGAGUUGCGAACGGGUGAGUAACGCGUAGGUAACCUGCCUUGUAGCGGGGGAUAACUAUUGGAAACGAUAGCUAAUACCGCAUAACAAUGGAUGACACAUGUCAUUUAUUUGAAAGGGGCAAUUGCUCCACUACAAGAUGGACCUGCGUUGUAUUAGCUAGUAGGUGAGGUAAUGGCUCACCUAGGCGACGAUACAUAGCCGACCUGAGAGGGGGAUCGGCCACACUGGGACUGAGACACGGCCCAGACUCCUACGGGAGGCAGCAGUAGGGAAUCUUCGGCAAUGGGGGCAACCCUGACCGAGCAACGCCGCGUGAGUGAAGAAGGUUUUCGGAUCGUAAAGCUCUGUUGUAAGUCAAGAACGGGUGUGAGAGUGGAAAGUUCACACUGUGACGGUAGCUUACCAGAAAGGGACGGCUAACUACGUG
rnacentral:rRNA from 1 species